rnacentral:snoRNA from 1 species
AUGCACUACGUAUUUGUAAUCUGUUACCGGAUUUACUGCUAACAAAUUCCAUUCCAGUGCUACAGAAAUUCCCAGAAUAAUAUAAGACUGACAAAACUUGUCUGUCUGAUUUUAUAUUUGGGAGACAACA